rnacentral:rRNA from 2 species
CUUGCUGGAGCUUGCUCCAGCAGGUCAGCGGCGGACGGGUGAGUAACACGUGGGCAACCUGCCUGUAAGACUGGGAUAACUCCGGGAAACCGGAGCUAAUACCGGAUAGUAUCUUGAACCGCAUGGUUCAAGUUGGAAAGACGGUUUCGGCUGUCACUUACAGAUGGGCCCGCGGCGCAUUAGCUAGUUGGUGAGGUAAUGGCUCACCAAGGCAACGAUGCGUAGCCGACCUGAGAGGGUGAUCGGCCACACUGGGACUGAGACACGGCCCAGACUCCUACGGGAGGCAGCAGUAGGGAAUCUUCCGCAAUGGACGAAAGUCUGACGGAGCAACGCCGCGUGAGUGAUGAAGGUUUUCGGAUCGUAAAACUCUGUUGUUAGGGAAGAACAAGUGCGAGAGUAACUGCUCGCACCUUGACGGUACCUAACCAGAAAGCCACGGCUAACUACGUGCCAGCAGCCGCGGUAAUACGUAGGUGGCAAGCGUUGUCCGGAAUUAUUGGGCGUAAAGCGCGCGCAGGCGGUUUCUUAAGUCUGAUGUGAAAGCCCCCGGCUCAACCGGGGAGGGUCAUUGGAAACUGGGAAACUUGAGUGCAGAAGAGGAGAGUGGAAUUCCACGUGUAGCGGUGAAAUGCGUAGAGAUGUGGAGGAACACCAGUGGCGAAGGCGACUCUCUGGUCUGUAACUGACGCUGAGGCGCGAA